UAGAGUUUGAUCCUGGCUCAGAACGAACGCUGGCGGCAGGCCUCAAACAUGCAAGUCUAGGGGGUGUAGCAAUACAUCACCGGCGGACGGGUGCGUAACACGUGGGAAUAUACCUUUUGGUUCGGAACAACGCAGGGAAACUUGCGCUAAUACCGAAUGUGCCCUUACGGGGAAAGAUUUAUCGCCAAAGGAUUAGCCCGCGUAGGAUUAGCUAGUUGGUGAGGUAAUGGCUCACCAAGGCUCCGAUCCUUAGCUGUUCUGAGAGGAAGAUCAGCCACACUGGGACUGAGACACGGCCCAGACUCCUACGGGAGGCAGCAGUUGGGAAUAUUGGACAAUGGGCGCAAGCCUGAUCCAGCCAUGCCGCGUGAGUGAUGAAGGCCCUAGGGUUGUAAAGCUCUUUUGUGCGGGAAGAUAAUGACGGUACCGCAAGAAUAAGCCCCGGCUAACUUCGUGCCAGCAGCCGCGGUAAUGCGACGUCGGGCC
rnacentral:rRNA from 1 species